rnacentral:rRNA from 1 species
AUACGGAGGAUCCGAGCGUUAUCCGGAUUUAUUGGGUUUAAAGGGUGCGCAGGCGGGAGAUUAAGUCGGCGGUGAAAUUUUGCAGCUCAACUGUAAAAGUGCCUUCGAAACUGGUUUCCUUGAGUGUAGAUGAAGUAGGCGGAAUUUUUGGUGUAGCGGUGAAAUGCAUAGAUAUCACGAGGAACUCCGAUUGCGCAGGCAGCUUACUAAACUACUACUGACGCUCAGGCACGAAGGCGUGAGGAUCAAACAGGAUUAGAUACCCUGGUAGUCCACGCAGUAAACGAUGAUUACUAGCUGUUUGCGAUACAAUGUAAGCGGCUGAGCGAAAGCGUUAAGUAAUCCACCUGGGGAGUACGUUCGCAAGAAUGAAACUCAAAUGAAUUGACGGGG